rnacentral:lncRNA from 1 species
UUAAAAUAAGAAUAUCCAAGACAGAAAAAUCGACAAACCACGACUCAUUCCUCAGACCUAGAACAAAACGCAACAAUCUCCGAUGUUGCAACUACAAGGAGGAAGAUAGAGAACAAGAAUAAAUGGGUUGCACCUUCAACGGCAAUGCGAUGAACAUCAUCGGCGUCGUGUGGUGGGUCAUCGUCGUCGUACGGUGGGUCAUGGUCGCAGUGCGCCG